GGUCAAGUUACUAAGGGCGCACGGGGGAUGUCUUGGUAUUGAGAGGCGAUGAAGGGCGUGAAAGUCUGCGAAAAGCUUGGGUGAGUCGACAAAUAGGCGUUGAUCCCGAGAUACCCGAAUUAGCGUACACUGAAUUCAUAGGUGUACGCGGCCAACCCAGGGAAUUGAAACAUCUUAGUACCUGGUGGAAAAGAAAGAAAAAUCGAUUCCGUUAGUAGCGGCGAGCGAAAGCGGAAGAGCCCAAACCGAGGAGGUUUCCUCUUCGGGGUUGUAGGGCCACUCACAUGGGAGUUACAAAGCGACAACUAGCUGAAGUGUCCAGGAACGGCACACCAUAGAUGGUGACAGUCCAGUAAGCGAAAGUUGAGCGCCUCCCGAGUGGUACCUGAGUAGGGCCAGUCACGUGAAACCUGGUCUGAAUCUGCGGGGACCAUCCCGUAAGGCUAAAUACUCCUCAAUGACCGAUAGUGAACUCAGUACAGCGAUGGAAAGGUGAGAAGAACCCCUGUUAGGGGAGGAUAGUGAACCUGAAACCGUGUGCUUACAAGCGGUCGGAGCACUAUUAAAAGUGUGACGGCGUGCCUUUUGCAAAAUGAUCCGGCGAGUUAGCGUUUGCAGCAGGUUAAGGCUCUACGGGCCGAAGCCAGAGGGAAACCGAGUCUGAAUAGGGCGACUAAGUUGCGGGCGCUAGGCGCGAAACUGCGUGAUCUACCCAUGGACAGGUUGAAGCGUGGGUUAAACUGCGUGGAGGACCGAACUCAUUUGGGUUGAAAACCGAUGGGAUGAUCUGUGGGGAGGAGUGAAAGUCUAAUCAAACGCAGAGAUAGCUCGUUCUCUCCGAAAUAUUUUGAGGGAUAGCCUCGAGCCACUAUGCAGCGGGGGUAGAGAGACUGAAUCGGACGGGGGCCCUUCCUUGGGUACCUCGCCGAACCAAACUCCGAAUACCGUUGUAACUAUCUCGGGAGUCAGUCUGUGGGGGAUAAGCUCCAUGGUCAAGAGGGAAACAACCCAGAUCGUCAGCUAAGGUCCCGAAGUUCUAUUCAGUCACUAAGAAAGUUGAAUCUCUGUGACAGCCAGGAUGUUGGCUUAGAAGCAGCCACCAUUUAAAAAGUGCGUAACAGCUUACUGGUCGAGAGGUUCUGCGUCGAUAAUGAACGGGAGUAAAUAGAACACCGAAGCUGCGGGAUCCGUAAGGAUCGGUAGGAGAGCGCUGAUGGGGAGAUACAAGACGUACCGUAAGGAGCGUUGUCGGCCCCAUCAGGUGAUUAUGCCGGAAUGAGUAACGAUUAAACAGGUGAGAAUCCUGUUCGCCGAACACCUAAGGUUUCCUGGGCAAGGUAAAUCCGCCCAGGGUUAGCCGGUACCUUAGUCGAGGCCGAAAGGCGUAGACGAUGGAUGGACGGUUAAUAUUCCGUCGCCGGCCUUGUGAAGUGAUGGAGGGACGGUAUCCGAAAAUACAGCAGUACGACUAGAAAUGUCUGUUGGUCCUGAUGAGGCGUCCGGUUGGCAAAUCCGCCGGGCACAAGCCAAGACAGGAUCACGAGGGCACUUAAGAUCCCGAAGUGUGUGGCAGGAUAUCCAAGAAAAGCUUCUAAACGUUAAAGCAAGGUCGACCGUACUAAAACUGACACAGGUAGGUGAGAAGAGUAUUCUAAGGCGCUCGGGAGAACGGUGGUUAAGGAACUCUGCAAAAUGGCUCCGUAAGUUCGCGAUAAGGGGCGCCUACGAAAGUAGGCCACAGAAAAUCGGCAGCAGCGACUGUUUAUCAAAAACACAGGACUCUGCGAACUCGUAAGAGGAGGUAUAGAGUCUGACGCCUGCCCGGUGCUGGUAGGUUAAGGAAGAGGGUUAGCGAAAGCGAAGCUCGCGACCGAAGCCCCAGUAAACGGCGGCCCUAACUAUGAGGGUCCUAAGGUAGCGAAGUUCCUUGUCGGGUAAGUUCCGACCUGCAUGAAAGGCGUAACGACUGCUGCACUGUCUCAACCACCGACCCGGUGAAAUUGUAGUUGUGGUGAAGAUGCCACAUACCCGCGGCUAGACGGAAAGACCCCAUGAACCUUCACUGUAGGCUGAUAUUGGGUUGAGGUAUGUUCUGUGCAGAAUAGCUGGGAGGCUUUGAACUGGGGACGCAAGUUCUCAGGGAGCCAUCGUUGAGAUACCAGCCUGGAUAUGCUUUAAUUCUAACUUUGACCCAUGAAUCUGGGCUUAGGACAUUGUCAGUUGGGCAGUUUGACUGGGGCGGUCUCCUCCUAAAAAGUAACGGAGGAGCGCAAUGGUACCCUCAGCCUGGUCGGCAAUCAGGCAAAGAGCGUAAAGGUAAAAGGGUGCUUGACUGUGAGACAAAUAAGUCGAACAGGUACGAAAGUAGGCCUUAGUGAUCCGGUAAUUCCGAAUGGAAGGGUUAUCGCUCAUCAGAUAAAAGGUACUCUGGGGAUAACAGGCUUAUCGCCACCGAGCGUCCACAGCGGCGUGGCGGUUUGGCACCUCGAUGUCGGCUCAUCGCAUCCUGGGGGUGAAGAAGCUCCCAAGGGUUUGGCUGUUCGCCAAUGAAAGCGGUACGUGAGCUGGGUUCAGACCGUCGUGAGACAGGUCGGUCCCUAUCUACCGUGGGCGCACGAAACUUGAGGAGGAUCAACCUUAGUACGAGAGGAUUUGGUUGGACGUAGCUCUGGUGUACCAGUUGUCACGCUAGUGGCACGGCUGGAUAGCUAACUACGGAAAGGAUAAACGCUGAAAGCAUCUAAGCGUGAAGCCCUCUCCAAGACUAGGUUUCGUAGCUACUUGUAGCGAGAGUCCCCUGGUAGACUACCAGGUUGAUAGGAUGGAUGUGUAAGCAGGGUAACCUGUUAAGCUAACCAUUACUAACGGACGAACGCUUGACCAU
rfam:Pirellula sp. SH-Sr6A, complete genome.